UGUGCUAAAGGCUCACCAAGCCACGAUUCGGUAGCUGGCUGAGAGACGACCAGCACACUGGAACUGAGAACCAUCAGACUCUACGGAGGCAGCAGUGGGGAUUUGACAAUGGGGAACCUGAUCAGCCAUCCGCGUGUAUGAUGAAGGCUUCGGUUGUAAAGUACUUUUGGCAGAGAAGAAAAGGUAUCCCCUAAUACGGGAUACUGCUGACGGUAUCUGCAGAAUAAGCACCGGGCUAACUACGUGCCAGCAGCCGCGGUAAUACGUAGGGUGCAAGCGUUAAUCGGAAUUACUGGGCGUAAAGCGUGUGUAGGCGGUUCGGAAAGAAAGAUGUGAAAUCCCAGGGCUCAACCUUGGAACUGCAUUUUUAACUGCCGAGCUAGAGUAUGUCAGAGGGGGGUAGAAUUCCACGUGUAGCAGUGAAAUGCGUAGAUAUGUGGAGGAAUACCGAUGGCGAAGGCAGCCCCCUGGGAUAAUACUGACGCUCAGACACGAAAGCGUGGGGAGCAAACAGGAUUAGAUACCCUGGUAGUCCACGCCCUAAACGAUGUCAACUAGCUGUUGGGGCCGUUAGGCCUUAGUAGCGCAGCUAACGCGUGAAGUUGACCGCCUGGGGAGUACGGUCGCAAGAUUAAAACUCAAAGGAAUUGACGGGGACCCGCACAAGCGGUGGAUGAUGUGGAUUAAUUCGAUGCAACGCGAAAAACCUUACCUACCCUUGACAUGUCUGGAAAGCCGAAGAGAUUUGGCCGUGCUCGCAAGAGAACCGGAACACAGGUGCUGCAUGGCUGUCGUCAGCUCGUGUCGUGAGAUGUUGGGUUAAGUCCCGCAACGAGCGCAACCCUUGUCAUUAGUUGCUACGCAAGAGCACUCUAAUGAGACUGCCGGUGACAAACCGGAGGAAGGUGGGGAUGACGUCAAGUCCUCAUGGCCCUUAUGGGUAGGGCUUCACACGUCAUACAAUGGUCGGGACAGAGGGUCGCCAACCCGCGAGGGGGAGCCAAUCUCAGAAACCCGAUCGUAGUCCGGAUCGCAGUCUGCAACUCGACUGCGUGAAGUCGGAAUCGCUAGUAAUCGCGGAUCAGAAUGUCGCGGUGAAUACGUUCCCGGGUCUUGUACACACCGCCCGUCACACCAUGGGAGUGGGUUUCACCAGAAGUAGGUAGCCUAACCGUAAGGAGGGCGCUUACCCACGGUUGAUCCAGGA
rnacentral:rRNA from 1 species